GGGAGUGUGGCCGAGUGGUCUAUGGCGCUGUGUUUAGGUAAUCAAACCUCCGCAGUGGGUCCGCCCGCGCGCGUUCGAAUCGCGUCGCUCUCA